rnacentral:lncRNA from 1 species
GGAGGCCUGAGCUAAGCGAAGGUGGAGCACGCGAAGCAACAGGAGUGAGUAGAACUAAAGAUGGAAGCCAGCCACCGAUGCAGCAGAACACCCGAAGUCUUUUUUUUUUUCCACAAAUAGGACUUUUUUUUUUUCGGGGUAUAGGGACCACUGUCACUCGCACGGCCCCAGUCUUCACUGGAGAGCUAGCUCGAGGUCUUCGGGGUAUAGGGACAAAUGUCACCCGCACAGGCCCAAUCUUCACUGGAGGUCUAGUCUAUCCCUCGUGGGUUUAGUGAAAUCUUUUCUAGUGAAUGUCUCGUCUUAGUCGCUGAAGAGCCCACGGCUUCUCAAGGGGCACGUUCUUAACAAAGGAUUCGCCCUCACUUUUAGAGAGGAAGCGUCUUUUUAAAAAUUAGGGGAAGAUCUUUACCAAAGUAGUAUCAACCAGAAACCCGGUUCUAAGAUUAACACCCAUUCAGUCCCGCCCUCCGAAACGCUUCUCUGACUCAGGCCUACUUAGGGAAGUGAUUUCAAAGGUGGAGACCAAUGAAGAGGCGGCUCCUUCCCUAGGGGCCAAUCAGAGUCUGAAAGGCGGGGGAUGGGCAAAAACCGAAAUGAACCCAAUGACUUGGCAAAAGCUGCUGAAUUGCUUAUUUAAAGGGACAAGACUGGGACCACCUCUUCACUCCCUCCCCACCCCCAAAGAGAAACUUGUG